rnacentral:rRNA from 1 species
UACAGAGGGUGCAAGCGUUAAUCGGAAUUACUGGGCGUAAAGCGUGCGUAGACGGUUAUGUAAGUCGGGUGUGAAAGCCCCGGGCUCAACCUGGGAAUGCCAUUCGAGACUGCGUAGCUAGGGUGCGGAAGAGGGAAGCGGAAUUUCCGGUGUAGCGGUGAAAUGCGUAGAUAUCGGAAGGAACACCAGUGGCGAAAGCGGCUUCCUGGUCCAGCACCGACGUUCAGGCACGAAAGCGUGGGGAGCAAACAGG